UGGGGAAUUUUCCGCAAUGGGGGGAACCCUGACGGAGCAACGCCGCGUGCGGGAGGACGGCCUGUGGGUUGUAAACUGCUUUUGUUGGGGAAGACAUGGACGGUACCCAGCGAAUAAGCCCCGGCUAACUCCGUGCCAGCAGCCGCGGUAAGACGGAGGGGGCAAGCGUUGUCCGGACUCACUGGGCGUAAAGGGCGUGCAGGCGGCUCUGUGCGUCGGCGCUGAAAGCGCCCGGCUUAACCGGGCGAGGUGCGUCGAUACGAUGGAGCUUGAGGCAAGGAGAGGCUAGCGGAAUUCCGGGUGUAGUGGUGAAAUGCGUAGAGAUCCGGAGGAACGCCCGUGGCGUAAGCGGCUAGCUAGUCUUGACCUGACGCUGAGGCGCGAAAGCGUGGGGAGCGAACCGGAUUAGAUACCCGCGUAGUCC
rnacentral:rRNA from 1 species